rnacentral:SRP_RNA from 1 species
GCCGGGUGCGGUGGCGCGUGCCUGUAGUCCCAGCUAUUUAGGAGGCUGAGGCUGGAGGAUCUCUUGAGCCCGGGAGUUCUGGGCUGUAGUGUGCUAUGCUGAUCAGGUGUCCACACUAAGUUUGGCAUCAAUAUGGUGACCUCCCGGGAGCGGGGGACCACCAGGUUGCCUAGGGAGGGGUGAACCGGCCCAGGUCGGAAACGGAGCAGGUCAAAACUCCUGUGCUGAUCAGUAGUGGGAUCACGCCUGUGAAUAGCCACUGCACUCCAGCCUGGGCAACAUAGCAAGACCCUGUCUCU